rnacentral:rRNA from 1 species
UGCGAAGCUGAUCAGUAUACCGCGUGUGUGAAGAAGGCCUUAGGGUUAUAAAGCACUUUCAAUUGGGAAGGAAAAACUCAUGGCCAAUACCCGUGAGCUUGACAUUACCUUUAAAAGAAGCACCGGCUAACUCCGUGCCAGCAGCCGCGGUAAUACGGAGGGUGCAAGCGUUAAUCGGAAUUACUGGGCGUAAAGCGUGCGUAGGCGGCUCGCUAAGUCAGAUGUGAAAGCCCCGGGCUCAACCUGGGAACGGCAUUUGAAACUGGCAAGCUAGAGUUUAGGAGAGGAGAGUGGAAUUUCAGGUGUAGCGGUGAAAUGCGUAGAGAUCUGAAGGAACACCAGUGGCGAAGGCGACUCUCUGGCCUAAAACUGACGCUGAGGUACGAAAGCGUGGGUAGCAAACAGGAUUAGAUACCCUGGUAGUCCACGCCGUAAACGAUGUCAACUAGCCGUUGGCUCUCUUAGAGAGUUAGUGGCGCAGCUAACGCAUUAAGUUGACCGGCUGGGGAGUACGGGCGCAAGGUUAAAACUCAAAUGAAUUGACGGGGGCCCGGCACAGCGGUGGAGCCUGUGGUUUAAUUCCGAUGGC